UACAGAGGGGGCAAGCGUUGUUCGGAAUUACUGGGCGUAAAGGGCGCGUAGGCGGCCUUCUAAGUCGAACGUGAAAUCCCCGGGCUCAACCCGGGAACUGCGUCCGAUACUGGCAGGCUUGAAUCCGGGAGAGGGAUGCGGAAUUCCAGGUGUAGCGGUGAAAUGCGUAGAUAUCUGGAGGAACACCGGUGGCGAAGGCGGCAUCCUGGACCGGCAUUGACGCUGAGGCGCGAAAGCCAGGGGAGCAAACGGG
rnacentral:rRNA from 1 species